UGUCUCAUGGUGUAGUGGGUAGCGUCUUUGGUUCGACCCUUAUAGGUCACGGGUUCGAACCCGCUCGGGGUAA